rnacentral:rRNA from 1 species
AACGGACGAGAAGCUUGCUUNCUCUGAUGUUAGCGGCGGACGGGUGAGUAACACGUGGAUAACCUACCUAUAAGACUGGGAUAACUUCGGGAAACCGGAGCUAAUACCGGAUAAUAUUUUGAACCGCAUGGUUCAAAAGUGAAAGACGGUCUUGCUGUCACUUAUAGAUGGAUCCGCGCUGCAUUAGCUAGUUGGUAAGGUAACGGCUUACCAAGGCAACGAUGCAUAGCCGACCUGAGAGGGUGAUCGGCCACACUGGAACUGAGACACGGUCCAGACUCCUACGGGAGGCAGCAGUAGGGAAUCUUCCGCAAUGGGCGAAAGCCUGACGGAGCAACGCCGCGUGAGUGAUGAAGGUCUUCGGAUCGUAAAACUCUGUUAUUAGGGAAGAACAUAUGUGUAAGUAACUGUGCACAUCUUGACGGUACCUAAUCAGAAAGCCACGGCUAACUACGUGCCAGCAGCCGCGGUAAUACGUAGGUGGCAAGCGUUAUCCGGAAUUAUUGGGCGUAAAGCGCGCGUAGGCGGUUUUUUAAGUCUGAUGUGAAAGCCCACGGCGACUCAACCGUGGAGGGUCAUUGGAAACUGGAAAACUUGAGUGCAGAAGAGGAAAGUGGAAUUCCAUGUGUAGCGGUGAAAUGCGCAGAGAUAUGGAGGAACACCAGUGGCGAAGGCGACUUUCUGGUCUGUAACUGACGCUGAUGUGCGAAAGCGUGGGGAUCAAACAGGAUUAGAUAACCCCUGGUAGUCCACGCCGUAAACGAUGAGUGCUAAGUGUUAGNGGGUUUCCGCCCCUCUUUAGUGCUGCAGCUAACGCAUUAAGCACUUCCGCCUGGGGAGUACGACCGCAAGGUUGAAACUCAAAGGAAUUGACGGGGACCCGCACAAGCGGUGGAGCAUGUGGUUUAAUUCGAAGCAACGCGAAGAACCUUACCAAAUCUUGACAUCCUUUGACAACUCUAGAGAUAGAGCCUUCCCCUUCGGGGGACAAAGUGACAGGUGGUGCAUGGUUGUCGUCAGCUCGUGUCGUGAGAUGUUGGGUUAAGUCCCGCAACGAGCGCAACCCUUAAGCUUAGUUGCCAUCAUUAAGUUGGGCACUCUAAGUUGACUGCCGGUGACAAACCGGAGGAAGGUGGGGAUGACGUCAAAUCAUCAUGCCCCUUAUGAUUUGGGCUACACACGUGCUACAAUGGACAAUACAAAGGGCAGCGAAACCGCGAGGUCAAGCAAAUCCCAUAAAGUUGUUCUCAGUUCGGAUUGUAGUCUGCAACUCGACUACAUGAAGCUGGAAUCGCUAGUAAUCGUAGAUCAGCAUGCUACGGUGAAUACGUUCCCGGGUCUUGUACACACCGCCCCGUCACACCACGAGAGUUUGUAACACCCGAAGCCGGUGGAGUAACCUUUUAAGGAGCUAGCCGUCGAAGGUGGGACAAAU